ensembl:lncRNA
GCUUAAGUGCCCUGGGAAAUAAGUAAAUCCAGAGCGCUCAAAUAGAACUUUUCAAGGAAGAGAUUUCUGCCAACGAUGACUCUUCAGUAAACUCCCUCAAGAGAGAACCUAGGACUCCUUUCCUUCCUCUGAUCCCUUUCCCUCCUCAGGGCCCCUCCAUCCUGGGGCACCCGUUUAAUGGGGGUUCUGUGUAAACAUACAAGUUCAGUGUGAAUGGUGUUGGGACAAUGGCCCCCACAGAACAUCACCCCAUGAGGACUUUAGUGUAAGGCUGACAGUACUUGGGAAGCAUGUGAAUGCAACAGAAAAGUUGCUGGAGAGCCUUCUCGGAAAGAAGAAGCCAGAGCUGGGUUCAAAAAGAAAGCAGCUUGCUGUUUCCCGGCUUUCUCCUGCCUUGGGGGUGCGGGGAACAGGUUGUGCUAGGAGGAGGUGCUGCGCGCAUCUCUAAGCUGCUGAGGUCAGGGGAGAAGCUGGACUCAGAACUGGUCGUGAAAAUACACACACACAUGUCCCUGCCCUCUGGAGUCUCUAGGAGGCUAGUGAUUCAAAUAGGUUUCCCUCUGGGCCUUGGUUGUAUCUUGGAGGUAAGACCAUUCCAUUUCCUCUGACUCACCCUCCUGCUGCCGCAUUUCAGUGCUGUCUGUCCUAGGAUUUCAGCAUCUGUUCUUGUGUGACAAGAAGAAACAGCUCCCUUGGGACGAAUUUCCAGUUGACCAUCUAAGGACAGCUCUCAUGUCUUCGACGUUUGGUUUUCUCUGGGAUAACCAGGCUGUGAGCCUGGAUUGAGUCUCCUCAGCAGGGCCUGGUUCGACUGGUGGCUCUCAGCCUCUCCCUCAGGGAGUGAGUGCAUGCGCUCACUUUUUCCAGUGGGCUUCUCGGUCUGAUUUAAUGGAUAUACCAGGACUGAUGACACAUCGGCACGGGAUCUUUCUUUUGCUUCUUGGACACCUGGUACCCUACUGUGCAGCUCAAAAGAAACUUGGAAAAUACAGACUGUCCAACACAUUCAGUUCUGUUGGUGCUAAGGUUCCCUGACUCCCCCUAGAUAAAAGA